GAAAUGCGAUAAGUAAUGUGAAUUGCAGAAUUCAGUGAAUCAUCGAAUCUUUGAACGCACAUUGCGCCCGCCAGUAUUCUGGCGGGCAUGCCUGUUCGAGCGUCAAUUCAACCAUCAAGCCCCCGGCUUGUGUUGGGGACCUGCGGCUGCCCGCAGGCCCUGAAAAACAGUGGCGGGCUCGCUGUCACACCGAGCGUAGUAGCAUACAUUCUCGCUCAGGGCGUGCUGCGGGUUCCGGCCGUUAAACGACCUUCAUAACCCAAGGUUGACCUCGGAUCAGGUAGGAAGACCCGCUGAACUUAAGC
rnacentral:misc_RNA from 1 species